GACGUAGGAUGCAAGCGUUGUCCGGAUUUAUUGGGCGUAAAGAGUUCGUAGGUGGUUUGUUAAGUCUGAUGUUAAAGACUGGGGCUCAACCUCGGAAAUGCAUUGGAUACUGGCAGACUCGAGUGCAGUAGAGGCAAGUGGAAUUCCCAGUGUAGCGGUGAAAUGCGUAGAUAUUGGGAAGAACACCGGUGGCGCAAGCGACUUGCUGGGCUGUAACUGACGCUGAGGAACGAAAGCUAGGGGAGCAAAUGGG
rnacentral:rRNA from 1 species